UACUGUCAUUUAUCCCUGAUUUCAAUUUCAAAAUGAACCAAUUAAGAAAAUUUGUUAAUUAGGCAAAUAAUUUUUAAAUUUUACUUAAAAAAUCAUCAAGGAAUGAUCCAUAAUGACAAAGAAAUGUACCUAGGCUCAAAUUAAGAAGCGCCCAGCAGCAUUUCUGCCUGAAAGUCCAGACAUUAGAAGUGCUGAAAGCCAUCCAAGAGCCUGGAAGAGUCUUCUUAAACAAUUAACUGAAUCACCUGCAGAGCCAGACAUGGAAGUGGAGGCAGAAGAUCCCCUACAAGAAGUAUUGCAGUACCUACUACACUUCUCGGCAUCAUCAUUGCCAUAUACUUUGACUUGUGACUGGAUUCAUUAGAAGUAAAGGACCGUCAUUGAUGCACGCAGAGCAGCGCUGUCGUUCCAUCAGUAAAUGCGAGGUGUCGAGCCUCGUGGACGGACUGGUGACGCUUUAGUCACUCAGCGCAAGUCUCCAUACACUCAGCGCAACUUUGUCCAGAUAGCGAUGCACUUUUUGCCUUGUGCGGGUCAUCCUGACCCAGUUUGGCCUGGCAUAAGGGUGUGU